rnacentral:misc_RNA from 1 species
GCCUAUAUGAAAUGAGUGCAACAGUUACUUUAUUAGAAGUGAAUGCACUACUCUUAACAAAAUUGACCAAGUACUUGAACCAUACCAUUUUACAUUCUUGCAAUUGUGUGAACUUUUUCUCAAUAUUUUAUUUUAUGCAUCUCUAACAAGAAUACAUUGCACAUUUUUAAUCAAAGUUUGUUUACUGGCAUGUGAGUGGUUUUCUGGCUUUGAAAUCUUAAAUAUACUUUUGCUAGAAAAGAUGAAAAUAGGCGGCUGAAUGGCUGAAACAUUGAUUAAAUCAU